rnacentral:lncRNA from 1 species
CAUACAGUUAAGAAGCUACUCAAUAACUUACCCAUUCAGAAUGGAUCGAAGAACCGAAUGCACAAUGAUUAGAAUAUUGAACGAUGAACAGAGUUGAAGGAAAAAACGCAGAAAUUUGCAGAGGGAAUGAGAGAAAAGAAAAACGUCAGGAAGAAAGGUUUUUGGGAAAAAGGAAAAAAUUAAAUUAAAAAAAUAAGAAAUAAAAAGUUAAAUCCUACAAAAUCCCAACUCCCCCCCACAAUCUACUAACCAACCAACUCCCCCAAAAUUGACCCACUAACUCAUCCAACUACUACAGAGUACCAGUUCCAUCCAACUUCUACUGCACAAUUGGCACACACUCACAGAAGCAAAAAUUAACAUCCUUCGCUCACACGAGGGUUUGAACACAAGACCCUAAGGCAAGCUAACACCUUACCACUUGAACCAGCAGGCUCAUUCUAAUAUGAAUUAAUCGAAAAUAUAACAUAAGCCCACCCA